rnacentral:lncRNA from 1 species
AAAUGGUCUAGUCCACAGGUCUCACGCUUGUCAUGGUGGUUUCUACUAGGAGUUUCCAAAUACAUACCAGUGCUAAGGUUGCUGGGAGAUGUUAAUACAGCUUCAUAUUACACUGAAACUAUUUUUUAAUCUAUCAGUUUCCAUCUCCAGCCCUGCUGCCAUCCCUAUUCAUCUGUACAGAUCCCUAUGUGAGAUUUCAUCAUCUUGAUGGCCGAAUAGGAACAGCUCCGGUCUACAGCUCCGGUCUACAGCUCCCAGCGUGAGCGACGCAGAAGACGGGUGAUUUCUGCAUUUCCAGCUGAGCUUUGAAGAGAGCAGUGGUUCUCCCAGCACGCAGCUGGAGAUCUGAGAACGGGCAGACUGCCUCCUCAAGUGGGUCCCUGACCCCUGACCCCCGAGCAGCCUAACUGGGAGGCACCCCCCAGCAGGGGCACAC